UACGGGGGGAGCAAGCGUUGUUCGGAUUUACUGGGCGUAAAGGGCGCGUAGGCGGUCAGCACAAGUCAGUUGUGAAAUCUCCGGGCUUAACUCGGAAAGGUCAACUGAUACUGUGCGACUAGAGUGCGGAAGGGGCAACUGGAAUUCUCGGUGUAGCGGUGAAAUGCGUAGAUAUCGAGAGGAACACCUGCGGCGAAGGCGGGCUACUGGGCCGAUACUGACGCUGAUGUGCGAAAGCCAGGGGAGCGAACCGG
rnacentral:rRNA from 1 species